UACCUCGAUGAUGUGUAUGAGAACAAGCAUAUGUCCGAGCUGACCACAAUUGUGGCACAAUGAGAGCAUUACUCGAGUCCUUGAAAGCUGAGUG